GUGCCUAAUACAUGCAAGUAGAACGCUGAAGGAGGAGCUUGCUUCUCCGGAUGAGUUGCGAACGGGUGAGUAACGCGUAGGUAACCUCCCUGGUAGCGGGGGAUAACUAUUGGAAACGAUAGCUAAUACCGCAUAAGAGUAGAUGUUGCAUGACAUUUACUUAAAAGGUGCAAUUGCACCACUACCAGAUGGACCUGCGUUGUAUUAGCUAGUUGGUGGGGUAACGGCUCACCAAGGCGACGAUACAUAGCCGACCUGAGAGGGUGAUCGGCCACACUGGGACUGAGACACGGCCCAGACUCCUACGGGAGGCAGCAGUAGGGAAUCUUCGGCAAUGGACGAAAGUCUGACCGAGCAACGCCGCGUGAGUGAAGAAGGUUUUCGGAUCGUAAAGCUCUGUUGUAAGAGAAGAACGAGUGUGAGAUGUGAA
rnacentral:rRNA from 1 species